GAAAGAGGAACCUGAGCAGGAACUGAUCAUACUUCUGAGAGCAGCAACAAUAUGAAAGAAAAAUCUGCAAGAAAGGAAAUUUUAGAUGCAUGAUUCAUUUGGUACUUAUUUCAGGCAGGGGAAAUGACAGUCUGCAGUGAGAACUGGUCGGUCACCUCUCCAGCAGCUCAAGAUGUGAACGCUGUAACUGCAGCUCAUCAGGAGAGCCCAGGCCUCUGAAGAGAUGUGGUUGUCCUGAGGCCCAAGAGGUGUAGAUCCUGCAUUUGAUGGACUCUGAAUGAAAGAUUUCCUGCUACUACCCCAUCUGGAAUUGAGCCCAAAAUGCUCCGCAUAACCUAUGAAACUGGGAGUAAGGGAAGCAGAAGAACAGGGCAUAACCCUUCAAGUCAGUGGAAAAUGAACCAGGUCAGUCAACAUUUUCAUAUGUCCAUUGCCUCUAUCUGCCUCAACUGGAGUGUGCAGCUCACAGCAAAGGAAAGGGUUAAGGAUGCUGUCUCUCAAAGCAGCACUGCCACCCAUCCCCAUCUACUGAGAACACAGGAUUGGGGAUUGAUGCUGCAAGAGAUAAAGCAGAUGCCUGCCUGGGGACCCCCACCUUGAAGAAGCAGAGGACAGCAAGUGGCUGUUGGAGGGGCUGAGAAGCUGACAGCAUUUCUGGGCAGGACUACACAACCCUGACACUGGACCAAAUUUGCAGCACUAUGGCCCUGGGCUUGAAGAGCCUCAGAAUCAGUCUUUAUGACACAGCGGCCACAUUCCUGCUUCUGAAAUGACUUGCGCCUUUCUUUCUUCCCCCUGAAGCUUGGCCUACCUCCUGCUGCUCUCCAGCAGCCUGCUUUCCUACUCCAGAGUCUGAUUUUUUUUACCAGCUCCUUAAACUGAAAUUUCCUUUCUUGCAGUUUUCUUGUCUUUGUAUGUGGAAGUCAGCAACUAACCAUGCUUUGUCUUAACUAAGGUACAAAAGUUCCCAGUAACAGGACAUUUUGCAACUUGCAAAGGCCUUCCAGGAAUACCAAGUUAAACACAGGGAUGUGUUUAUCACUCUCUAAUAGCGUAUAAACUGUUUAAAGUGACAUAAUGCUUUAUAGAAGUCAGCUAAUAUACUGGAUGCUUUAAUCAGGAGAACCCUGUGGAUUUUCUCCCAACUAAGAGUUUCUCUUAGUUUCACC